GGCUGGGUCUCAUGCAAUACGGCGCUGUUAACCCCGUCAGGCCCGGAAGGGAGCAGCGGUACACGGUACGCCGUAUGUGUAUGGUAAGGCCCAGCCUCU
rnacentral:SRP_RNA from 1 species